CGCCAAAUUUCUGUAACAUCCAUCUAGUUAUUUGUGUUUUACUGUGUUGGUGAUUUUAUAUUUAGUAACUGUUUCGCAAGUGUUUGGCAAUGGCUUUCUUCGCUUUCCUUCCCCUCUUUCUUCGCUUGUGCUGUGCUUUGCUUUGUUUGGGAAUUAAUUUACAUCCCAUCGAUAGAUAAAGCGAGUCAUGUGCCGAUGAACAGACCUAGAACCGUUAUCUAUUGGAUAUGCCCAAAGCGCGAGCACUCACUGGGCGGAGCAUCGCAAAGGAUACAGCCGCAGUCGAAGUCAUGGCGUAUACGUAAUAUGAGGGCUGUCUCGCUUACUGGUCUCACAACUGGCGCUUGAUGCAAUAGAAUUGCAAAUAUUUUCCACCGAUUAAAAUGCUUGAUAAUUGCUAAAUUAAAACGCGGUGGGAGCUCGCUCGAUCUGCGGUUAGCAGCAAAGCCAAAGGCUAAAGCCAGCCACCGGACUCCAAAGCAAACUCAUACUCACACUCGU